UACGUAGGGUGCAAGCGUUAAUCGGAAUUACUGGGCGUAAAGCGUGCGCAGGCGGUUGUGCAAGACAGAUGUGAAAUCCCCGGGCUCAACCUGGGAAUUGCAUUUGUGACUGCACGGCUAGAGUGUGUCAGAGGGGGUAGAAUUCCACGUGUGAGCAGUGAAAUGCGUAGAGAUGUGGAGGAAUACCGAUGGCGAAGGCAGCCCCCUGGGACUAACACGUGACGCUGCAUGCACGAAAGCGU
rnacentral:rRNA from 1 species